rnacentral:siRNA from 1 species
AUACAAGCGGUGCGAAUAGAAAA